AUUGAACGCUGGCGGCAGGCCUAACACAUGCAAGUCGAACGAGUGGCGGACGGGUGAGCAAUGUCUGGGACACUGCCUGAUGGAGAGGGAUAACUACUGGAAACGGUAGCUAAUACCGCAUACCAUCAGAUGUACCCAGAUGGGAUUAGCUUGUUGGUGGGGUAACGGCCCACCAAGGCGACGAGCCCUAGUUGGUCUGUGAGGAUGACCAGCCACACUGGAACUGAGACACGGUCCAGACUCCUACGGGAGGCAGCAGUGGGGAAUAUUGCACAAUGGGCGCAAGCCUGAUGCAGCCAUGCCGCGUGUAUGAAGAAGGCCUUCGGGUUGUAAAGUACUUUCAGCGGGGAGGCGUUACCCGCAGAAGAAGCACCGGCUAACUCCGUGCCAGCCGCCGCGGUAAUUC
rnacentral:rRNA from 1 species